rnacentral:lncRNA from 1 species
AGACAUUAAUCUUAAGUAUCCAGGGAGCCCUAAAACAUUGUAUCCCACUAGCAAGGACCAUGGUAAUUGCCACGUAAAUCCCCUCCAUUAUGUGGCCCUUAUUAUGACCAGCCAGCCAAGGCUUGCCUUUAAAUCAUACCAAUUGAACCGAGCCUUGUAGAAACACUAUCACCUACGCAUACCUCUGCUUCUUUUCAUUAACCUGCUAUCCUCUUUACAAAUGGGAUUCUUCACCCACUCCCUUCUUCUAGAUUAGCAAUGCCCUGUUAAGUAAACGAACACGAAAUUCAAAGGGAAACAGGAGCAAUCAUCAUUACCAGCUGCCGUGUUAAGCAUUGCGAAAACGCUCACGAUUCACAGAAAAAUCCAUGCUGUUCUUUGAAGGCAUUCAAGCCUUAAUAGCUAGCUGGAUGAAUGUUUAACUUCUAGGCCAGGCACUACUCUGUCCCAACAAUAAGCCCUGUACAUUGGGAAAGGUGCCGAGACAUGAACUUUGGUCUUCUCUGCAAUCCAUCUGGAGCAUUCACUGACAACAUCGACUUUGAAGUUGCACUGACCUGGCCAGCCCUGCCACUUACCAGGUUGGCAUCUGGCAUCUUUCUUGACAUAUGUAGCAGUUGCUUUUUGACAGCUUGCUUCUUCAGUGAAUGAAUAAAUUAAUAAAGAGAAAUGUGAUGUUCAGUGAUCCAUUUUGCAGGCUCUUGAGUUUCUGCUUUCAAGUGACCCUCAGAAAUUCCUCCAUUCACUGCAGAGGUUCUGUUUCUCCUUGCUUUGUUCUGACUUUACGGCAGAACUAAGCUAAUGAGUUAGUUACUAUGGGUUAUCACUUGGAUUUGAAGAACCAUCAUUUCUAGGCAUUGCUGCUCAGAGUGGGUCUGCCCUCAGGGGAAGCUGUCUAACCAGAGCCUAACCCACUAGGGUUUUAUCAGAACCUAACUGACCUGAGGAAAAGAAAUACUCAACUCCAGCAAGCUCCAGCCUUCCAAAUGGAGGAGGAGAAAACCCAACUCCAGCCCACUUCAGCUAUCUUGUCCCACAUAAAGGGGAAGUGGAAGAAACCUGAGAAGCAGGCAUGAAGUUCACAGUCCAGAGACCUUGCCAUCGUAUCCCCUUUUGGAGACACAAGCCAGGAAGGAAGCUCUUCAGUGCAGCUGUGAAUAGAGAAAUGCUGGCUGAGGUUUUGGAGACACUGGGUGAUCAUUCCCAGUGAAAUUUUUAGAUCCCUGGGGACAUGAGCUGCUUUGUCUUUUCCAAGGCUGAAAAAGUUUUGGAAGCCCUCCUAAGCAGGUGCCAGACCCUUUUUUGGCCAGAGACAGGAUCUUACGCUGUUGCCCAGGCUGGAGUGCAAUAGUGUCAUCAUGGCUCACUGUAGCCUGGAACUGCUGGGCUCAAGGGAUCCUCCCAGCUCAGCCUCCCAAGUAGCUAGGAGUAAAGUCUGGAGAACACUUUUUCUUUUGAGCUGUUUACAACCUUUAGCAAUUGAGUAGAGUGUACUCUUGUCAAUAGAAUUUGAAGCACAUUUCUCUCUCUGCCUGAUUUCUGUAGAAUUUGUAAACUAUUUGUGAAUAUUCUUAAUUUAUGGCAAUAUGGUUGCUUACAUAAGUUCAAUAAUAAUCUGUUUUCUUUUACAAUGAGACACAGUUGGAGGAACUGGUUAUUUUCCCAGGGCUUUGACUGAAAUGGCCUUGUGAAUGGUUCCAGGAAAGCCAAUUUUGGAGACCCUAUGUGGAUGAUGAUGCUUGCUGUACUUUCUGUGGGUAAUCGGGCCAAGUAUAUGGGACUGAAGCUAAUUUUGCAGGUGAGAAAAUGGAGGUCCAGAGAGAAAAGUGACUCACCCAAGCUGAAAACAGUUGCAGGAAGAAAAGCCAGGACAGAACUGGGCUGUUAGAAACCUUGGAGUACACUAAAGAUGAGGAACUGAGUCACCGCAAUGCCAAAUGUAACACGCUGUGGGUCAAAAUUUGGAUGGUUGCGUUGGAAAUUAUUCUGAAGCCACAGACAGGGCUAAAAGAGUCUAGAAUGUCCUACUAGCUGUUGGAACCUGCUGGAGUUCUAAAGGCAUGCGAUGUCCUGAAUGUGCUUGACCAAUGGACACAGCAGGUAUUUGAAGAGUUUUGAUGCUUCCUUUCUGUUUUCAGUGCUAUUUUUUUGCUUUAUUUCUUUUAAAAAACUUUCCCCACAGAGGCUAUUUAUUACACAGCAGCAGCCAGCAUGCACCAAGCAGAACUGCUUUUCAUAAUAAACCUAUUUAUCUUCUGGCAUGUCAGAAAUUUCUCAAAUUGAUACUUAUAAUAAAUAUGAUUAAUAACACAUUGUA